GAGGAACGCUGGCGGCGUGGAUUAGGCAUGCAAGUCGAACGGUAGGAUAUCUUUCGGGGUAUCUGAGAGUGGCGAACGGGUGAGUAACGCGUAGGUGAUCUACCUCCGGGCGGGGGACAACUCGAGGAAACUUGGGCUAAUACCGCAUGUGACCGCAAGGUUAAAGCCGGCCUCUGCGAGAGUAAGCUGGCGUCCGGAGAUGAGCCUGCGUCUUAUUAGUUAGUUGGUAGGGUAACGGCCUACCAAGGCGAUGAUAAGUAGGCGGCUUUAACGAGUGGUCGCCCACACUGGGAUUGAGAGACGGCCCAGACUCCUACGGGAGGCAGCAGUCGAGGAUAGUCUACAAUGGCCGAAAGGCUGAUAGUGCGACGCCGCGUGAACGAGGAAGCAUUUCGGUGUGUAAAGUUCUUUUCCAUGGGAGCAGGACACAGGUGGUGAACAGUCACCGGUGUUGGAUCAUACUAUGGGAAUAAGCCACGGCUAACUCCGUG
rnacentral:rRNA from 1 species